CGUACGGGAGGCAGCAGUAGGGAAUAUUGGCCAAUGGCCGGAAGACUGACCCAGCCAUGCCGCGUGCAGGAAGACGGCCCUCUGGGUUGUAAAAGGCCUUUAUGUGGGAAGAAAAGGGCCCUGCGUGGCAAAUUGCCGGUACCAGAUGAAUAAGCACCGGCUAACUCCGUGCCAGCAGCCGCGGUAAU
rnacentral:rRNA from 1 species